rnacentral:piRNA from 1 species
CGAGACACUAUGACCCUCUCAAGGCU